UACGUAGGGUGCGAGCGUUGUCCGGAAUUAUUGGGCGUAAAGGGCUCGUAGGCGGUCUGUUGCGUCGGGAGUGAAAACUCAGGGCUUAACCCUGAGCCUGCUUCCGAUACGGGCAGACUAGAGGUAUGCAGGGGAGAACGGAAUUCCUGGUGUAGCGGUGAAAUGCGCAGAUAUCAGGAGGAACACCAGCGGCGAAGGCGGCGCUCUGGGCCGGUACUGACACUGAGGAGCGAAAGCGUGGGUAGCAAACAGG
rnacentral:rRNA from 1 species